AGAACGAACGCUGGCGGCAGGCUUAACACAUGCAAGUCGAGCGCCCCGCAAGGGGAGCGGCAGACGGGUGAGUAACGCGUGGGAACAUACCCUCCGGUACGGAAUAACUCAGGGAAACUUGAGCUAAUACCGUAUACGGCUUAGCGGCGAAAGAUUUAUCGCCGGAGGAUUGGCCCGCGUUCGAUUAGCUAGUUGGUGCGGUAAUGGCGCACCAAGGCGACGAUCGAUAGCUGGUCUGAGAGGAUGAUCAGCCACAUUGGGACUGAGACACGGCCCAGACUCCUACGGGAGGCAGCAGUGGGGAAUAUUGGACAAUGGGCGCAAGCCUGAUCCAGCCAUGCCGCGUGGAUGAUGAAGGCCCUAGGGUUGUAAAGUCCUUUCGGCGGGGAAGAUAAUGACGGUACCGCAGAAGAAGCCCCGGCUAACUUCGUGCCAGCAGCCGC
rnacentral:rRNA from 1 species